GGGCCCGUAGCUCAGCUAGGCAGAGCGGCGGGCUCCAGACCCGUAGGUCGGGGGUUCAAGUCCCCCCGGGCCCACCA
rnacentral:tRNA from 1 species